rnacentral:rRNA from 1 species
GUAGUCCAUGCCGUAAACGUUGGGCGCUAGAUGUGGGGACCAUUCCACGGUUUCUGUGUCGUAGCUAACGCAUUAAGCGCCCCGCCUGGGGAGUACGGCCGCAAGGCUAAAACUCAAAGGAAUUGACGGGGGCCCGCACAAGCGGCGGAGCAUGCGGAUUAAUUCGAUGCAACGCGAAGAACCUUACCAAGGCUUGACAUAUACCGGAAACUUCCAGAGAUGGUUGCCCUGCUUGCAGUCGGUAUACAGGUGGUGCAUGGUUGUCGUCAGCUCGUGUCGUGAGAUGUUCGGUUAAGUCCGGCAACGAGCGCAACCCUCGUCCUAUGUUGCCAGCACGUUAUGGUGGGAACUCAUGGGAUACUGCCGUGGUCAACACGGA